GUCUGCGCUUCCAGGUUCAGUUUCAGGGUUGAGCCGGCAGCCCUAGCCGGCGGGCGUGGAGCGGGCAGCCGUGCCCGGACCCCGGGGUCCUCUGGGGGCCCCGGAGUGGGGAGGCGGCGUCCGGGAGCCCCCGGAGGAGGAUGGGCUGCGGACGUAGCAAACUGAGCUGCUGCACAGCCCGCAAAAAGAGGCACSAAGAACCAGAUCAUCCACCCAAACCAGAACCACAAGAAUUGGAUCUCCUUAAUAAGGACACAGCUACAGCCACUGCUGUUCAGUCACGUGCAUCUGAGGAGGCUAAGCAGCAUCAGAAAGACAUUACCAGAAUUCUCCAGCAACACGAAGAGGAAAAGAAGAAAUGGGCAGAACAGGUGGAGAAGGAGCGGACACUAGAGCUUCAGGAGAGGCUGGAAGAGCAGCGAAGAGUCCUGGAAGGAAAACACGAGGAGGCCUUGCAAGUCAUCCAGGCCUCAUUUGAAAAGGAGAAAGAAGCCCUUACCCACUCCUUCCAGGAGGCCAAAGCUGCCCUUCAGGAGACCAUAGCAGGACUGACCUCACAACUGGAGGCCUUUCAGGCCAAGAUGAAGAGGGUAGAAGAGUCCAUUCUGAGGCGAAACUAUAAGAAACACAUUCAGGAUUAUGGGAGUCCCAGCCAGUUCUGGGAGCAGGAGCUGGAGAGCUUGCACUUUGUCAUCGAGAUGAAGAAUGAUCGGAUUCAUGAGCUAGACAAGAGGCUGAUCCUCAUGGAAACAGUGAAAGAAAAAAACCUGAAGCUGGAGGAAAAAAUCACAACCCUGCAACAGGAAUAUGAGGACCUCCAAGUUCGAGCCCGUAAUCAGGUGGUGGUGUCAAGGCAGCUCUCAGAAGACCUGCUUCUGACCCGUGAAGCUCUGGAGAAGGAGUCGCAGGUGCGGCGACAGCUGCAGCAGGAGAAGGAGGAACUGCUGUACCGGGUCUUUGGGGCUGACGCCUCUUCUACCUUCGCCCUGGCCUCUGUUACCCCCACCGAGGUCUCUUUCCUUGCCACAUAAGGGGCAGGGUCUGGGCCCACCAUGAUGCCUAUGGUCAUAGCUCCUGCCAAAGACUUUCUGGAGAAGACAACAAGAGCCUACCAGUUCUUUAUCCAGGAAAGAAGAAGAGUAGGAGUCACUGUAAGACAUCUGAACUGGGACCAAUCCUUGGCCUCUCACUGCAGGAACACAGAGAUCAACUCAGAGAGUUCAUGAUGUACUGGUUCAGACCACUGAAGACUGGAGUAAGGUGCUGCUGGAGCACUUUACAUUAAGGAGGAACUGAACACGCUGGCUGGGUUCCACAGGCCUUCCUUUCAGGACUGCUAAAGAUGGUGAUCUUAUGGAACAGUCACAGCUUACAGAACACCUGAUUUCUCCAUCCUGUACUUUGUGUACACUUACACUGGGUUCCAAAUCCAGGGCCUUGUGCAUGCCAGGCAUGUGCUCUACCACGAAGCUAUACCCCGAUUCUAUUCUUAAGUCACCUCUGGCGGGGGACAGUUCCUCACAGGUUUUUCGGUUCCACUCUUCCCAUUUUGACCUAUACAAGGUCAGCUCAUUGCUCAGGCCUUGUCGAUGUCCUCAGAAUCUGGAGAAUGAUUCUUGGGUCUCUUAGAAUGGACCACGCUGCUCCCCUGCAUGUUCAGACCACCUUAGUGAGAGAGGUGGGUCUCUGGUCUUGUAUGAGGGACAUGCGCACCCUUGCUUUUACUGCCAUGGGCCAGGAAGGCCUUCCACCUACCUAAACCCAUACUUCCAAACUCCUGUUAAAUUCCAGCUCUUCCAGAAAGGCUUUUUAAGAAUUCCUCAAGUCCUUGGUGUUGGUAGCAUACUACUAUUUGGCACAGAUGUCCUCCAGAUAUUUGAAGUUGGCAGGGGUAAAUUCUUGGAGAGGAGAGAAUGUCACCACCACCCACUCUCUAACACCACCUCAGAGCUCUGUGCCCACAAUGGAUGCCCAGGAAACAGCCAUUGUGAUGUGUGGCCCAUCUCCUAUCACACACACAGCCACAGGACUGAGCACAUGCUCCAGCCUCAUCUUGURUGGUUGGGACCAGCCUGGUCAUGCCCUUGAAGAUGAAUCCCUGACCACUCUAUCCUAAGUAGACCCAAUCACAUCACUCUGCUUUAUUGUCACUGUAGCUCUUGGCACUACCUACAUGACUAGGUGUGUCUGUCUCCCUCUUCUCCUCCCUGCUUUGAGUAUAAGCUUCCAGGUAGCAGAAGCCAUAACUCUUUGACUCAUCAUUAUAGUGUCAGCCCCUGGCACAAUGUUUGGCAUGUGGUGAAUGCUUAGUAAUUAUUGCAUAAAUUAACAAAGAAAUUAUACAUUCUUUGGCAGUGAACCAAAAGGUAGCUCUAUUUGACAAAUGAGGGAACUAAAGCCCAGAUAAAGGAAAUGACUUGCCCCAUGUCACUCAGGAAGCAGUGUCACAGUUGGGGCUAGGUUCAUCAAUUCCCAACAAUGGUUCCAUUUUGCAAUGAUCACUCUUGGCCUUCAUUCCAAUCCCUCACUCCCACCCCUCUGCCCCAACACACUUCCAUGGCAUAUACACAUGCACACAAACUCCUCCUGCCCUCUGCUUACCCUCUGUCCUGGAUAUUUCCAGUUAAAAUCCACAGUAAUCUCUGGUUCACCCAGAAUAAUACAGGUCGCAGUGAAGUCCUCUCCUAGCUGGAUUGAUGUUGUUGAAGCCUGGAUGGUGGGUUGAGGGGAAAAAGAUGGAUCUUCCACAGAUUAGAAGGGAGAAAAGGUUGGGRGAAAAAAGUAUGUUGACAGGUUGUUAUGACUGAAUUGUUGGCAGGUAAAUGGAUGGAGAAAUGGAUGAAUGAAAUGAAUGAGUAGUACAGUUAAAUUGAAUUAAAUGAAUGGAUGGAGAGGUUAGAUUUAUGAGUGGUUGAGGUAGUUGAAUUGGCAAAGGAUGUAUGAGUGGAUAUAAAGAAUUAAUGGAGGGGCUGGGGUUGUGUGGCUCAGAGGCAAGCACUUGUUGAGCACAUGGAAGGCACUGGGUUUGGUCCUUAGCACAACAUAACAAAUACAAUAAAGGUAUUCUGUCCAUUUACAACUACAAAAAAUGUUUUUUAAACAAAGAAUUAAUAGAGAGUAGAUGGAUGAAGGAAUAGUUGACCUGAUGGGGAAUGGAUGGAUGGAAUGGUUGAUUUGAGAGAGGACGGAGGAAUUGAAUCCAUUGACUUGAUUGACAAUAGAUGAUGGACAGGCUGAAUUGAUGCAGCCUAGAUUGAUGGCUGGUUGGCUGUCUGUUAUAUGGGGCAAUAAGGUGUUCUGGACAACAUCGUUAAUCACAUGGAGCAUUGUUAAAAGCCAUUGGGUUGUUUAGAGCAUCAUAAUUCACACCCUCUGGACCUGAGGUUUCUCAAGGUACAACAAGGGUUCUCUUUCCAUAUCCCUCCGUUCCCUGACCACUCGGGGACUUAAGUUCAUGCACAGUUGAUGUAGAUUAGCAUGUACUUGGUAGAGAUUUGUUUCAUGCCACCUAGGCUGGCCAAAGCAGAAGAGAAAGCCAGCCAAGGAAGCUCAGAGCCAGUGGAUGGUGAAUCACUUCUUCACAUCAAAGGAGAUGUCUGUCCCAUCCACUGGGACCUCUUCAGGAGGGAACUCCCAGUACCAAGUCACCUGGGCCAGGAGGUUGGUCACCUGGCAGGGAAGCAGUGCUGACUGAUUGGUGUGCAGCUGCACCACCUGGUAGUAGUCUUUUGUGGGUACCAAGAGCUCCGGUGGGUCUCAGAAUGAGGGAGAGAAAAAUAAGCCUAGGAUAGAUUUGCACUUCCACCACCGAGGAGCAUGAGGUCCCUGUGGGGCCUGAAAACCUCACUUUCUCUGCCUUUCCCCAUUCUCCACGUUUCCUCUCUCAUAAGGGGUCCUGGAUUGAGAAUGUAAAGACAAGCCUGCUAGUCCCAAUGUUGUCUAUAUAUGUCUUAAACAAAUCCUUUUCUUCUCCUGCAUUCAUUUUGGUUUUGUUUGUUUUAUAGGAUCU